rnacentral:lncRNA from 1 species
UUUAUAGUCAAUUUAAACAAUUUUCAUAAAUUUUGGUAAAUUUUUACAAAAUGUUUUCUCUCUAACUACUGGGCACAGUGCAUAAUACUUUAAUAAAUAGAUAUAUUUUUAGCAGCAAGAGUGUUCAGUAAAGAAAUAUCUACAAACACAUCACCAUCACCAAAACACAAUUUUGUCAUGAAUCCAUCUGUCCUUUGUUUAAUAUGCACAUAGACCAAGGUGAGCGACACAGGCUUUUUAGAGCCUCUAGUUUUGAUUUAUGGUCGUUCAUUAUGAAAACAAGUGUUAAGAUGCUUUAUCACUGAUUAAAAUACGUAUCAUUUUGACCCUAUUAAUUUGAUUAACAUAUUACUAUUAUAUCACAUUUUGUAUACUUCAACUUUAAUAUUUACUAACUUUCAAAUAUGUAUCCAAAUUGGUGUAUCACAAGGUUCUCAAUUAUCAAAAAUCUCUUUCUGAGGUAGGUAUGACAUACACUUACAAAAAUAAAACUGGAACUUUAUGACAUGAACCUAAUAAGAAGUGAAAUUGUGCCAUAUUUGCAUCAGAACUUGUCCCCACUUUAAAUUGAUAAUGACAUGUGUAUGAUAAACCAUAAUUUUCUAAUGUGCAAUUUUUCAUUGUGAGGUUGUGCUAUUCAUUUUAAGAGUUUCGUUUAUAUUUCACCUAGUUUUCUUGUAUGCAUUUAGAAUAACUCCAGAUGCACAAUAGAGGCAAAAUAUCAAUUCAUUUAAGUAUUUUACCUGGAUUUUUUUUUUGUAUACAGAUUCAUAUAUGCCUGAUUUUUUUUCAUGUACCAUUUACUCAGCAUUUAUUUUAAUAAAUGUAAGAAUCAGUGACCAACGGAAUUCCCUUCAUAUAGUUUUAUUUUUUCCUAAAAUAAUAGGUGUUAUAAAAUAUAGAGAAGCAAGAGAAAAAGUUGGGAAACGAGCACAGAUAUUUUUUUGAAAAUUCUCCAUAAAGCAUUUAAACAAUAUCCUCUUUGUACUACCAGUAACAAAUUUUUUUUACACAUUUUUUUUUCUAUCACAAAUUAUCCGUGCACCCAAUUCCAUUUGAUCUUCUGUUUUAAUUUCCAAGUUUAGUUGUCAACAUAAAUUUCAUUUUACCUACAUUAAUAUAUUUUUUUUAUUGUAAUAUCAUAACUAUUUGUCAUACUCUGGAUUUUAAUAUUUUGGUGGGUACUAAUUUUUGUGGAUGGAAGAGACAUGGUAUUUUCAUGAACAAGGUUUACACAAAAUAAGUGUAAUUUCACAUGUAACAAAUUCCUAUAUUUGUAUAAAAAUCUGCAUAAAACCCUAUAGAAAAUGUGUGCUUCAUUGAAUAUCUAAAAUUGUUUUUUGUCUAUACCUUCUAAAAGUGGUACAUGUAUCCCACAAAUAAUAUUAAAUCUCUAGAAGAUUAAAUAUUAGUUUUGUUUCUGUUACCUGCUUUGACUGAAUUAACAAAAAUGUAUUUGUCUGUGUAUGAAUGAGUUCAUAUCAAAUUCUGUUCGAAUUUGGUCAAAAUACUUUUUAUACGACCGCAAACCAAUUUAUUUGGAUUGUUUAAUGAUAUGAUGUCGUCAUCGUCGUCUGCGUCGUCCGAAGACACAUUUGGUUUCCGGACAAUAACUUUAGUUUAAGUCAAUGGAUCUCUAAGAAAUUUAAGAAGAAGGUUUAAUAUCUUUAAAGGCAGGUUGGGAUUGAUUUAUGGGAUGAGGAUAAUAAGUUGUUUUAACUUGUGUAUAAGUAUUUCAAUUACUCAGAAAUUGUACCACAACGUUCAAAACCACAAGUAGAAGGUUUUGAUUCAUUUUGGGGGUUAUUAAGGUGCCAACAGUUUAGGAAUUAAGGACCAAAAAGGUGCCAAAAACAAGCAUUUUUGUAGUUUUUGAACAAUAACUUGUUUGUAAGUUUAUCACUCUCUCUGAUAUUGUACCAAAAGGUUCCAUAUCACAAAAGGAAGGAAGGUUGAGAUUGAGUUUGGGGGUAAUUACCCAAUUCAUGCAGGAAUUAGUGGGCCAAAAACAAGCAUUUUUCUAGUUUCUUGGCAAUAACUUGUGUUAAAUAGUAUUCAUCUCUCUGAAAUUGUACUAAAAGUUUCCAUAUUACAAAGGAAAGGCUAGGAUUCAGUGUGGGGGUAAUUGCUCCAAGGGGAUUCAAAAGUUUGUGGUGUUCUAAUUUUUUUUAAGGGGUUCAAAUUUAAAAAAAAAAAAUUCAAAUUCGAAAUUUUUCAAAAUUUUGAAGAAGAAUCUUUAAUUGCACAGUAUUGUGCAAUAGAUUUGUAAGAUCUUGACAUUUAUUUUGCGUCAGAAACCUAUACUCUGUCAAAAAUGUAAUCACAAUCCAAAUUCAGACAGUAUCAAGCUUGAAUAUUGUGUCCAAAUUUGCCCUAACUGUUCAGGGUUCAACAUCUGGGGUCGUAUCAGGCUGCACUCAGUGAAAGCAAUUUAUUAAAGAAUUAUUGUGCUUUUUCAUAUCUUACUUAUUGGGGAAGGGAAUAUUUGCAUUGAAAUAAUAUAUGUAAGUUUCUUACUUUUUUGAUGGAAAAUCCUGAAAUAUUUGUCACUGGAUGUUAUACAAAUAACAAUCAAGCAAGCGAUUGCUUUACAUUAGUGGUUUGUAUUCACUGAUUGCAGUGGUGAGUUAAUGCAUCACAUGUUUGCUCAUAUAUUUAUUUUAUAUUUUUAUACAUUUUUAGAUUUUCUAUCAUUUUAGACACCUUUUUUCAUGUUCUAUGUAUACAAGUGCUAUCAUAUUAUUUGAUCUAUUUAUUUCUAUGUUUAUUCAUUGUUUUAUGAAAUAAAAU